rnacentral:rRNA from 1 species
GGUUAAGUGAAUAAGGGCGCACGGUGGAUGCCUUGGCACUAGGAGCCGAUGAAGGACGGGACUAACACCGAUAUGCUUUGGGGAGCUGUAAGUAAGCUAUGAUCCAGAGAUUUCCGAAUGGGGGAACCCAAUAUCUUUUAUAGGAUAUUACUUUUCAGUGAAUACAUAGCUGAUUAGAGGUAGACGCAGAGAACUGAAACAUCUUAGUACCUGCAGGAAGAGAAAGAAAAUUCGAUUCCCUGAGUAGCGGCGAGCGAAACGGGAAGAGCCCAAACCAACAAGCUUGCUUGUUGGGGUUGUAGGACUCCAAUAUGGUAGUCUGUUAGUAUAGUUGAAGGAUUUGGAAAAUUCCGCUAAAGAGGGUGAAAGCCCCGUAGACGAAAUGCUGACAACACCUAGGAGGAUCCUGAGUACGGCGGAACACGAGAAAUUCCGUCGGAAUCCGCGGGGACCAUCCCGCAAGGCUAAAUACUCCCUAGUGACCGAUAGUGAACCAGUACCGUGAGGGAAAGGUGAAAAGCACCCCGGAAGGGUAGUGAAAUAGAUCCUGAAACCGUGUGCUUACAACAAGUCAAAGCUCGUUAAUGAGUGAUGGCGUGCCUUUUGUAGAAUGAACCGGCGAGUUACGAUUGCAUGCGAGGUUAAGUCGAAGAGACGGAGCCGCAGCGAAAGCGAGUCUGAAUAGGGCGAAUGAGUAUGUAGUCGUAGACCCGAAACCAUGUGAUCUACCCAUGUCCAGGUUGAAGGUGCGGUAAAACGCACUGGAGGACCGAACCCACGUACGUUGAAAAGUGCGGGGAUGAGGUGUGGGUAGCGGAGAAAUUCCAAACGAACUUGGAGAUAGCUGGUUCUCUCCGAAAUAGCUUUAGGGCUAGCGUCGACAGAAAGAUUCUUGGAGGUAGAGCACUGUUUGGGUGAGGGGUCCAUCCCGGAUUACCAAUCUCAGAUAAACUCCGAAUGCCAAUGAAUUAUGGUCGGCAGUCAGACUGCGAGUGCUAAGAUCCGUAGUCGAAAGGGAAACAGCCCAGACCACCAGCUAAGGUCCCAAAAUAAUUGUUAAGUGGAAAAGGAUGUGGGGUUGCACAGACAACUAGGAUGUUAGCUUAGAAGCAGCUAUUCAUUCAAAGAGUGCGUAAUAGCUCACUAGUCGAGUGACCCUGCGCCGAAAAUGUACCGGGGCUAAAACAAUUUACCGAAGCUGUGGAUCCUUUAGGGGAUGGUAGGAGAGCGUUCUAUGUGUGGUGAAGGUGUACCGUGAGGAGCGCUGGAACGCAUAGAAGUGAGAAUGCCGGUAUGAGUAGCGCAAGACAGGUGAGAAUCCUGUCCACCGUAAGACUAAGGUUUCCAGGGGAAGGCUCGUCCGCCCUGGGUUAGUCGGGACCUAAGGCGAGGCCGA